UCAUUAAUUGAUGGUGAUUAUGAUAACAUAAGGGAAAAAAAUGAUAUUACCUUAUUAUUAGUGUUGUCCAAAACUGGUGCCAGAAGACUCGGUAAGACCAGAGACGCAAACGUUAGUCAUCUUAAUCAGGCGUAAAGGGUUUGUAGGCUGCUUUAAAAAUUUAAACUAUUUGAAUAAGCUCUUUUACCGUAAUACUACUUUUAUUUUGAUUUGAAAUUAAUUAAAUAAUAGAUAAAAAAAUUAAAAUAUAUAAAUGGUAGUAUAUAAAAUUUGUUAUAUUAUAUAAUAUAAUAAAUGAUAUUAACAAAAUAUCCGUGUAUCAGUAAAGAAAUAAAUGAAUUAAAGCUAGGAUCAAAUUGAGGAUAAACCAAAUAAUACUUAGAGUAGGGCUUAUAUCCGCAGAUACUAAGGGGAAUACUAAAGGUGAAAACUUUUUAUCUACUAUUGAUUGACGCUGAGAAACAAAGGUGAGAACAGGAAAUAGGAUUAGAUACCCAGAUACCUCUCACUGUCAACGAUGAAUGGUGGUUUGUUAGUUUUAAUAAAAACUGGUAACGAUGUUAACACGAUAACCAUUCCGCCUUGCGAGUACGGUUGCAAAACUGAAACCAAAAAAA
rnacentral:rRNA from 1 species